GUUAUAGAUUUUUAUUUUUUUUUUUUAUUAAAAUUUUAUAUAAUUAAAUAUUUAAAGAAUAGAUUUGAUGGUCCAUAAAAUGCACACAAAAGGGGUUUAUUUUCUUCUUCUUCUUUUUUUCUCUCGGGCCCAUGGGACCCUCCUCGUUAAUGAUCCUUCCGCAGGUUCACCUACGGAAA
rnacentral:misc_RNA from 1 species